rnacentral:rRNA from 1 species
GACGAACGCUGGCGGCGUGCCUAAUACAUGCAAGUCGACCUUAGUGGCGAACGGGUGAGUAACACGUGGGUAACCUGCCCAUCAGAAGGGGAUAACACUUGGAAACCGGUGCUAAUACCGGAUACUGAUGGAUUGACCCGCGGUGCAUUAGCUAGUUGGUGAGGUAACGGCUCACCAAGGCCACGAUGCAUAGCCGACCUGAGAGGGUGAUCGGCCACAUUGGGACUGAGACACGGCCCAGACUCCUACGGGAGGCAGCAGUAGAGAAUCUUCGGCAAUGGGCGAAAGCCUGAUCAAGCCAUGCUGCGUGUGUGAAGAAGGUCUUCGGAUUGUAAAGCACUUUAAGUUGGGAAGCGUUACCAACAGAAUAAGCACCGGCUAACUUCGUGCCAGCAGCCGCGGUAAUAC